rnacentral:rRNA from 1 species
AGUCGACGCUUCUUUCUCCCGAGUGCUUGCACUCAAUUGGAAAGAGGAGUGGCGGACGGGUGAGUAACACGUGGGUAACCUACCCAUCAGAGGGGGAUAACACUUGGAAACAGGUGCUAAUACCGUAUAACAAUCGAAACCGCAUGGUUUUGAUUUGAAAGGCGCUUUCGGGUGUCGCUGAUGGAUGGACCCGCGGUGCAUUAGCUAGUUGGUGAGGUAACGGCUCACCAAGGCCACGAUGCAUAGCCGACCUGAGAGGGUGAUCGGCCACAUUGGGACUGAGACACGGCCCAAACUCCUACGGGAGGCAGCAGUAGGGAAUCUUCGGCAAUGGACGAAAGUCUGACCGAGCAACGCCGCGUGAGUGAAGAAGGUUUUCGGAUCGUAAAACUCUGUUGUUAGAGAAGAACAAGGAUGAGAGUAACUGUUCAUCCCUUGACGGUAUCUAACCAGAAAGCCACGGCUAACUACGUGCCAGCAGCCGCGGUAAUACGUAGGUGGCAAGCGUUGUCCGGAUUUAUUGGGCGUAAAGCGAGCGCAGGCGGUUUCUUAAGUCUGAUGUGAAAGCCCCCGGCUCAACCGGGGAGGGUCAUUGGAAACUGGGAGACUUGAGUGCAGAAGAGGAGAGUGGAAUUCCAUGUGUAGCGGUGAAAUGCGUAGAUAUAUGGAGGAACACCAGUGGCGAAGGCGGCUCUCUGGUCUGUAACUGACGCUGAAGCUCGAAAGCGUGGGGGAGCAACAGGAUUAGAUACCCUGGUAGU